GGUUAAGCGACUAAGCGUACACGGUGGAUGCCCUGGCAGUCAGAGGCGAUGAAGGACGUGCUAAUCUGCGAUAAGCGUCGGUAAGGUGAUAUGAACCGUUAUAACCGGCGAUUUCCGAAUGGGGAAACCCAGUGUGAUUCGUCACACUAUCAUUAACUGAAUCCAUAGGUUAAUGAGGCGAACCGGGGGAACUGAAACAUCUAAGUACCCCGAGGAAAAGAAAUCAACCGAGAUUCCCCCAGUAGCGGCGAGCGAACGGGGAGCAGCCCAGAGCCUGAAUCAGUGUGUGUGUUAGUGGAAGCGUCUGGAAAGGCGCGCGAUACAGGGUGACAGCCCCGUACACAAAAAUGCACAUGCUGUGAGCUCGAUGAGUAGGGCGGGACACGUGGUAUCCUGUCUGAAUAUGGGGGGACCAUCCUCCAAGGCUAAAUACUCCUGACUGACCGAUAGUGAACCAGUACCGUGAGGGAAAGGCGAAAAGAACCCCGGCGAGGGGAGUGAAAAAGAACCUGAAACCGUGUACGUACAAGCAGUGGGAGCACAGAGCAAUCUGUGUGACUGCGUACCUUUUGUAUAAUGGGUCAGCGACUUAUAUUCUGUAGCAAGGUUAACCGAAUAGGGGAGCCGAAGGGAAACCGAGUCUUAACUGGGCGUUAAGUUGCAGGGUAUAGACCCGAAACCCGGUGAUCUAGCCAUGGGCAGGUUGAAGGUUGGGUAACACUAACUGGAGGACCGAACCGACUAAUGUUGAAAAAUUAGCGGAUGACUUGUGGCUGGGGGUGAAAGGCCAAUCAAACCGGGAGAUAGCUGGUUCUCCCCGAAAGCUAUUUAGGUAGCGCCUCGUGAAUUCAUCUCCGGGGGUAGAGCACUGUUUCGGCAAGGGGGUCAUCCCGACUUACCAACCCGAUGCAAACUGCGAAUACCGGAGAAUGUUAUCACGGGAGACACACGGCGGGUGCUAACGUCCGUCGUGAAGAGGGAAACAACCCAGACCGCCAGCUAAGGUCCCAAAGUCAUGGUUAAGUGGGAAACGAUGUGGGAAGGCCCAGACAGCCAGGAUGUUGGCUUAGAAGCAGCCAUCAUUUAAAGAAAGCGUAAUAGCUCACUGGUCGAGUCGGCCUGCGCGGAAGAUGUAACGGGGCUAAACCAUGCACCGAAGCUGCGGCAGCGACGCUUAUGCGUUGUUGGGUAGGGGAGCGUUCUGUAAGCCUGCGNNNNNNNNNNNNNNNNNNNNNNNNNNNNNNNNNNNNNNNNNNNNNNNNNNNNNNNNNNNNNNNNNNNNNNNNNNNNNNNNNNNNNNNNNNNNNNNNCGUGGAGCUGAAAUCAGUCGAAGAUACCAGCUGGCUGCAACUGUUUAUUAAAAACACAGCACUGUGCAAACACGAAAGUGGACGUAUACGGUGUGACGCCUGCCCGGUGCCGGAAGGUUAAUUGAUGGGGUUAGCGCAAGCGAAGCUCUUGAUCGAAGCCCCGGUAAACGGCGGCCGUAACUAUAACGGUCCUAAGGUAGCGAAAUUCCUUGUCGGGUAAGUUCCGACCUGCACGAAUGGCGUAAUGAUGGCCAGGCUGUCUCCACCCGAGACUCAGUGAAAUUGAACUCGCUGUGAAGAUGCAGUGUACCCGCGGCAAGACGGAAAGACCCCGUGAACCUUUACUAUAGCUUGACACUGAACAUUGAGCCUUGAUGUGUAGGAUAGGUGGGAGGCUUUGAAGUGUGGACGCCAGUCUGCAUGGAGCCGACCUUGAAAUACCACCCUUUAAUGUUUGAUGUUCUAACGUGGACCCGUAAUCCGGGUUGCGGACAGUGUCUGGUGGGUAGUUUGACUGGGGCGGUCUCCUCCUAAAGAGUAACGGAGGAGCACGAAGGUUGGCUAAUCCUGGUCGGACAUCAGGAGGUUAGUGCAAUGGCAUAAGCCAGCUUGACUGCGAGCGUGACGGCGCGAGCAGGUGCGAAAGCAGGUCAUAGUGAUCCGGUGGUUCUGAAUGGAAGGGCCAUCGCUCAACGGAUAAAAGGUACUCCGGGGAUAACAGGCUGAUACCGCCCAAGAGUUCAUAUCGACGGCGGUGUUUGGCACCUCGAUGUCGGCUCAUCACAUCCUGGGGCUGAAGUAGGUCCCAAGGGUAUGGCUGUUCGCCAUUUAAAGUGGUACGCGAGCUGGGUUUAGAACGUCGUGAGACAGUUCGGUCCCUAUCUGCCGUGGGCGCUGGAGAACUGAGGGGGGCUGCUCCUAGUACGAGAGGACCGGAGUGGACGCAUCACUGGUGUUCGGGUUGUCAUGCCAAUGGCACUGCCCGGUAGCUAAAUGCGGAAGAGAUAAGUGCUGAAAGCAUCUAAGCACGAAACUUGCCCCGAGAUGAGUUCUCCCUGACUCCUUGAGAGUCCUGAAGGAACGUUGAAGACGACGACGUUGAUAGGCCGGGUGUGUAAGCGCAGCGAUGCGUUGAGCUAACCGGUACUAAUGAACCGUGAGGCUUAACCUU
rnacentral:rRNA from 1 species